CUGAGGUGAGUUUGGGUAUGACGGCUAGUUUUUGGCAUCGCUGUUGGACAACUCUUGGUCCCCUUAUUGAGAUCACUGAUCAGGAUAGUCGUAAAGUCUCUGGCUUGGCUUAUUCGAUGGUAAUGGGGAAGCAUUUGUUAAAGGUCGGUGGUGGUAAGUACCUCCAUGAUUUUCUUUUCCAAAUCUUACUUCUUUACAAUUCUAGUUAUCCAGAGUUCCCUUUGUUUAAGGUAACAAGGCAUGAAAUCCAAAGCAAGAAAGCAAUGUGGAAGAUGUAUGAGCAAUAUCCUCAUGUCAUUUUUGAUGACUUUACAAGCCUGGUAUUUCUGUACAGCCGAUUCUCUUCCUUCUUUAGAUAAAAUUUGAAAAAGAGUUGAUUUCCACUGUUUUACAUGUUGAUAUUUUGGCAGAUGGGUAAAAGAGUUGGGAACAUUUAAAACACACACGUUCCUGGUUCCAAAACUGGAUGCAAGACGUAGGUUACGAAUGGUGACCAAGGAAUGACGAGGAACGAUGCAUUACCUAACGUUCCUAAAAAAAAUCACCAUUCACAAUGAAUAAUUUUUUUCUCUCAUUCUCUUUCAUUCCUUUUUCU
rnacentral:lncRNA from 1 species